UUAGCUGUAUAUCUAUUCAUUCGCAUUCGCGCACUUUGUGCCAUAUCAUCGUCUGCUGCUCCGGCUGCUCCGGCUGCUCCGUCAUCAUCAUUAUGAUCGUCCAUUUUCAAAAGUGUCUUAUUUUUUCGGUUGUUUUAUUUCUUUGUACCAAAAUAAUAUGCAUACAUAUAAAUGUACAUGCAUACAUACACAUUUAUAUAUAAGUAUAUCCAUAUACAUAUAUAUAUAUACCUGCUCCAUUGGGUUAUUUUCAACUUCCGCUCGUCAUUCCAUUCAGGUAUAUUCAACCCAUCCUCGUUCCACGGCUCCUCCGCAGCCUGUUCUCAUUCUCCAGCUCUCUCUGUUAUGAUGUUAGCUGCUGUUCGCUUAUAACUAAUAAAAUUACUCAGCAAUAAAUUGUAUUUGACGCGCAUUGCCAUACAGCUGAGCCCAACACGGCUAUUUGCUUCGGUAAAGAUUACAAUGAACAGCAAGAGAGCCGAAUAGACUAUUUUGUGUCAAUGCGGUACGACUUGGUGUAAAUUCAUACUUACCUCUGAUGACUCAUGAUGAAUACUGCACUUUUAGCUUGGCGUUCAUAUGAACGAACAGACGGACAAGCGGACGGACAGAUGGAUAUACAACAAGGCCAACAUUGCACAAAACCAAUAUACUCAUUUCAGUUUCGUGAAUGAGUAGAAGAACUAGAAUUUCAGAUAGAAGUCUAUAAAAUGGAAGUACAAUAAAAUUGUAGAAGAGAUUUUUUUACUUUUACAGCGACAGCAACGUAAGUUGCCGGCGCGCCCUAAUGGGCUGAAUGAACAGAUAAUAAGCUCACAAAGGGGUUAUUGAAAAACCUCGUAUGGCUUUAACAAAUAAAA